GUCUACAGCCAUAUUACCCUGAACACACCCAAUCUCAUCUGAUUUCAGAAGCUAAGUAGGGUUGGGCCUGGUUAGUACUUGGAUGGGAGAAAUGCAACUGAUUUUUGCAUGUUGAUU
rnacentral:rRNA from 1 species